UGCCAAUCUCAUAAGAAUAUCUAGCAUAAAAGACAAUAAAACACCUUUGGUACACUUUAAUUCUUCAGGUGUACUUCAAAUGACUGUAUGGAUGAUUGUAUUUCCUGUGGAAAGUCCUCAUUACUACUCACCUCUGACCAGCCGGAACACGUCCUUCUGCAAAGUGAAGUGGAAGUUCCAUGGACUGGUCACUCUUCAUGGACACACAGCUCGGUACAGGAGAGUGUGAUCUCUUCUGCUGGAUGGAGCUGUAUUUUAUACACACACACACGCACACACAAAGUUAUCAGCAGUAUAUGUAAAACAAAAAAUAUCAGUACAGUCAAAAUGACCCAAAUCCUAUUUUUGUCUACAAAUACUUUGGACAUCACAUGUCAUCCAAUUUCAAGGAAUCUUAUUGGUUUAAAAAAAAUUUAAGGGAAAAAAUCUAUUAGAUUUAAAAUAUGUCCAAUGUCACUCUGA
ensembl:lncRNA